GAAAAGUUUUAUUCUUGCUUAUAAAUUUACUUCAACAUUAUUAUAUAUGUAAGUUUUUGCAUAAAUUAUUUAAUUCUUAAUGUAUAAAUAAGUUAUAAUUAUUGCAGUAUAAGGUAUUAUUAAUUUAAGGGAUUUUGAAUUAGUAAUUGUUAAUAGUAUUGAUAAAUCAUGUGCCAGCAGUCGCGGUUAUACAUGGGAUAUAAGUAAAUAUUAUCAGUUAAAGUAGUUAAUUUGUUUAUUUGUAGAACAUAUAUUGAUUAUUUAUAGGUAAAAUAUUUAAAUUUUUGUCUAGGGUUUAUAAAAAUUGAAUGAAGCUGUGAGAUCUAUAAAUUUAAACUAGGAUUAGAUACCCUAUUAUUUUAGAUGUAAAUUAUUUGAACUUGAGUAGUAUUAGUUAGAAUCUUGAAACUUAAAGAAUUUGGCGGUAUUUUAGUCUAUUUAGAGGAAUCUGUCCCAUGAUCGAUGAUCCACGUUGGACCUUACUUAGUUUAAAGAAAUAUGUAUAUCGCCGUUUAGAGCUAAUUCUAUAAGGGUUAAUUUUUUCAAUAUUUGUAAGAUAAGUUUUCAGGUCAAGGUGCAGUUUAUAAUUAAGUGGGAGAUGGAUUACAAUAUUAAUAAAGUAUACGGAUUGUUGUUUGAAAUAAUUACAUGAAGGCGGAUUUAAUAGUAAUAUUAUAAAGAUUGUUAAUAUGAUUAUAGCUCUAAAAUAUGUACACAUCGCCCGUCGCUCUCGUUAUUUUAAGGCGAGAAAAGUCGUAACACAGUAGUUGUACCGGAAGGUGUAACUAGAAUGA
rnacentral:ncRNA from 1 species